GAUUCAGGUGGGCGGGCUGGUGGGCAGAAGGGCAGACGGGCAGAGGAAGUGCCAGUGCCACUGGGACCAUGGCUCUGACGGUAACGCGUGCAACGACUAACAGGGCUGACCGGCACCCACGACCGACAAGUGAAGCUCACCUUUCGAGGCUUUACCCAGAAAACAAGAAAAAUUCACUGUGGUCCAGAAGCAGAUAUCGGUGAGCUGUUCCGAUGGCCCCACUAUGGGGCUCCACUGGCUGGGGAGUGUCUGUCUGUGCAGGUGGUCAACUGCAGCCGUGUAUUCAGCCUUAGGCCUCUAGGGACCCUGGUGAUCUCCCUGCAGCAGCUACAGAAUGCUGGGCAUUUGGUGCUACGGGAAGCCCUAGUGGAUGAGAAUCUUCAAGUGUCCCCGAUCCAGGUGGAGCUUGACCUGAAGUACCAGCCCCCAGAGGGCGCUACUGGAGCCUGGUCAGAGGAGGACUUUGGGGCACCCAUCCAGGACAGCUUCGAGUUAAUCAUCCCCAAUGUGGGCUUCCAGGAACUGGAGCCUGGGGAGGCCCAGCUGGAGCGGCGGGCAGUGGCUCUAGGCCGCAGGCUAGCUCGAAGUCUAGGCCAGCAGGACGAUGAAGAGAAUGAGCUGGAGCUUGAGCUGGAGCAGGACCUGGAUGAUGAGCCUGACGUGGAACUUUCUGGUGUUAUGUUCAGCCCCCUCAAGAGCCGCGCCAGGGCCCUGGCCCAUGGGGAUCCCUUCCAGGUGUCCAGAGCUCAAGACUUCCAGGUGGGAGUCACUGUGCUGGAAGCCCAGAAACUGGUGGGAGUCAACAUUAACCCCUAUGUGGCCGUGCAAGUGGGGGGGCAGCGCCGUGUGACCGCCACACAGCGUGGGACCAGUUGCCCCUUCUACAAUGAGUACUUCUUGUUCGAAUUUCAUGACACGCGGCUUCGUCUCCAAGACUUGCUGCUGGAGAUCACGGCUUUCCAUUCGCAGACCCUCCCCUUUAUGGCCACCCGGAUAGGCACCUUCAGGAUGGACCUGGGCAUCAUCUUGGACCAGCCAGAUGGCCAGUUCUACCAAAGAUGGGUUCCGCUGCAUGAUCCCCGAGACACCCGCGCCGGGACCAAGGGUUUCAUUAAGGUCACCUUGUCCGUGAGGGCGCGCGGGGACCUGCCCCCUCCAAUGCUACCCCCGGCCCCAGGGCACUGUUCGGACAUCGAGAAGAACCUGCUCCUGCCGCGCGGGGUGCCCGCCGAGAGGCCAUGGGCGCGGCUCCGCGUGCGCCUGUACCGCGCCGAGGGGCUUCCCGCGCUGCGCCUGGGGCUGCUGGGCAGCCUGGUCCGCGCCCUGCACGACCAGCGCGUCCUGGUGGAGCCCUAUGUGCGGGUGUCUUUCCUGGGGCAGGAGGGCGAGACGUCGGUGAGCGCCGAGGCGGCGGCGCCCGAAUGGAACGAGCAGCUGAGCUUCGUGGAGCUCUUCCCGCCGCUGACGCGCAGCCUCCGCCUGCAGCUGCGGGACGACGCGCCCCUGGUCGACGCGGCACUCGCUACGCACGUGCCGGACCUGAGGCGGAUCUCCCAUCCGGGCCGCGCGGCGGGGUUUAACCCUACCUUCGGCCCGGCCUGGGUGCCCCUCUAUGGCUCGCCCCCCGGCGCGGGGCUCCGGGAUAGUCUUCAAGGUCUCAACGAAGGCGUUGGCCAAGGCAUUUGGUUCCGCGGCCGCCUUCUGCUGGCUGUGUCCAUGCAGGUGUUGGAAGGGAGAGCUGAACCUGAGCCUCCCCAGGCCCAGCAGGGGUCCACGUUGUCCCGGCUCACCCGAAAGAAGAAAAAGAAAGCCAGAAGGGAUCAGACCCCAAAGGCGGUUCCGCAGCACUUGGACGCCAGCCCCGGUGCCGAGGGGCCUGAGAUCCCCCGUGCCAUGGAGGUGGAGGUGGAGGAGCUGCUGCCGCUGCCAGAGAAUGUCCUGGCGCCCUGUGAAGAUUUCCUGCUUUUCGGUGUGCUCUUCGAGGCCACCAUGAUCGACCCCACCGUGGCCUCCCAGCCCAUCAGCUUCGAGAUCUCCAUUGGUCGCGCAGGCCGUCUGGAGGAGCAAUUGGGCCGAGGGUCCAGGGCUGGGGAGGGAACUGAGGGUGCAGCCGUGGAGGCUCAGCCUCUGCUGGGAGCCAGGCCAGAGGAGGAGAAAGAGGAGGAAGAACUGGGGACCCAUGCUCAGCGGCCUGAGCCCAUGGACGGCAGUGGGCCAUACUUCUGCUUGCCCCUCUGUCACUGCAAGCCAUGCAUGCAUGUGUGGAGUUGCUGGGAGGACCACACCUGGCGCCUGCAGAGCAGCAACUGCGUGCGCAAAGUGGCCGAGAGGCUGGACCAGGGGCUGCAGGAGGUUGAGAGACUGCAGCGCAAGCCGGGGCCUGGCGCCUGUGCACAGCUCAAGCAGGCACUGGAAGUACUGGUGGCUGGGAGCAGACAGUUUUGCCACGGUGCCGAGCGCAGGACGAUGACCCGGCCCAAUGCCCUGGAUCGAUGCCGAGGGAAACUCCUGGUGCACAGCCUGAACCUUUUGGCUAAGCAAGGACUGCGACUUCUACGCGGCCUGAGACGGCGCAAUGUGCAAAAGAAGGUGGCACUGGCCAAGAAGCUCCUGGCAAAACUGCGCUUUCUGGCUGAGGAGCCCCAGCCACCCCUCCCCGAUGUGCUGGUCUGGAUGCUCAGCGGGCAGCGCCGUGUGGCCUGGGCCCGGAUCCCUGCCCAGGAUGUGCUGUUCUCUGUGGUUGAGGAGGAACGGGGCCGAGACUGUGGGAAGAUCCAGAGUCUAAUGCUCACGGCACCCGGGGCAGCCCCUGGUGAGGUCUGUGCCAAGCUGGAGCUCUUCCUGCGGCUGGGCCUGGGCAAGCAAGCCAAGGCCUGCACCUCUGAGCUGCCCCCGGAUUUGCUGCCCGAGCCCUCAGCCGGGCUGCCCUCCAGCCUACACCGGGACGACUUUAGCUACUUCCAACUCCGGGCUCACUUGUACCAGGCCCGGGGUGUGUUGGCUGCAGAUGACAGUGGCCUCUCGGACCCCUUUGCUCGAGUCCUCAUCUCUACCCAGUGUCAGACCACACGGGUCCUGGAGCAGACGCUGAGCCCUCUGUGGGAUGAACUCCUGGUAUUUGAGCAGUUGAUCGUGGAUGGGAGGAGGGAGCACCUGCAGGAGGAGCCUCCAUUAGUGAUCAUCAAUGUAUUUGACCACAAUAAGUUUGGCCCCCCCGUGUUCCUGGGCAGGGCACUGGCCGCCCCAAGGGUAAAGCUGAUGGAGGACCCAUACCAACGCCCAGAGUUGCAGUUCUUCCCCCUGAGGAAGGGACCCUGGGCAGCCGGAGAGCUCAUUGCCGCCUUUCAACUCAUUGAACUAGACUACAGUGGCCGACUUGAGCCCUCAGUGCCCAGUGAGGUGGAGCCCCAGGAUCUGGCACCCCUGGUUGAGCCCCACUCUGGACGCCUGUCCCUUCCACCCAACGUGUGCCCAGUGCUCAGGGAGUUCCGUGUUGAGGUGCUGUUCUGGGGUCUUAGGGGACUUGGUCGUGUGCAUCUGCUCGAGGUGGAGCAGCCCCAGGUUGUACUGGAGGUGGCUGGGCAAGGUGUGGAGUCUGAGGUCCUGGCCAGCUACCGUGAGAGCCCCAAUUUCACUGAGCUUGUCAGGCAUCUGACAGUGGACUUGCCGGAGCAGCCUUACUUGCAGCCUCCACUCAGCAUCUUGGUGAUUGAGCGCCGGGCCUUUGGCCACACAGUCCUUGUGGGUUCCCACAUUGUCCCCCACAUGCUGCGAUUCACAUUUCGGGGUCAUGAGGAUCCUCCUGAGGAGGAAGGAGAGAUGGAGGAGACAGGGGAUAUGAUGCCCAAGGGACCUCAAGGACAGAAGUCCCUGGAUCCCUUCUUGGCUGAAGCGGGUAUAUCCAGACAGCUCCUGAAGCCUCCUCUGAAGAAGCUCCCACUAGGAGGCCUCCUAAAUCAAGGCCCUGGGCUGGAGGAAGACAUCCCAGAUCCAGAGGAGCUCGACUGGGGGUCCAAGUACUAUGCGUCGCUGCAGGAGCUCCAGGGGCAGCACAACUUUGAUGAAGAUGAAAUGGAUGAUCCUGGAGAUUCAGAUGGGGUCAACCUCAUUUCUAUGGUUGGGGAGAUCCAAGACCAGGAUCUACAACAGGUCCCUGAAGGAAGAAUUUAACCACUUUGAAGACUGGCUGAAUGUGUUUCCUCUGUACCGAGGGCAAGGGGGCCAGGAUGGAGGUGGAGAAGAGGAAGGAUCUGGACACCUUGUGGGCAAGUUCAAGGGCUCCUUCCUCAUUUACCCUGAAUCAGAGGCAGUGUUGUUCUCUGAGCCCCAGAUCUCCCGGGGGAUCCCACAGAACCGGCCCAUCAAGCUCCUGGUCAGAGUGUAUGUUGUAAAGGCUACCAACCUGGCUCCUGCAGACCCCAAUGGCAAAGCAGACCCUUACGUGGUGGUGAGCGCUGGCCGGGAGCGGCAGGACACCAAGGAACGCUACAUCCCCAAGCAGCUCAACCCCAUCUUUGGAGAGAUCCUGGAGCUAAGCAUCUCUCUCCCAGCUGAGACGGAGCUGACGGUCGCCGUAUUUGAUCAUGACCUCGUGGGUUCUGACGACCUCAUCGGGGAGACCCACAUUGAUCUGGAAAACCGAUUCUAUAGCCACCACAGAGCAAACUGUGGGCUGGCCUCCCAGUAUGAAGUGUGGGUCCAGCAGGGCCCACAGGAGCCAUUCUGAGUUUCUGGCCAAACACAUUCAAGCUCACAUUCCCUUUUGUGUUCUCCAGAUCCUAUGAUUUCAUGGAAGGGGACCCUCCCACCCACCGCCACUGCCAACCAAGACAUAGCUCAGUGGUCAAGACUUGGGCUUGGGAGUCGGGAUCCUGUAACGAAUGUCACUUGACCGCUUUCUUUUUUUAUGAAACAGUCUCGCUCUGUCUCCCAGGUUGGAGUGCAGUGGCACGAUCUCGGCUGACUGCAACCUCCACCUCCUGGGUUCAAGCGAUUCUCCUGCCUCAGCCUCCCCAGUAGCUGGGAUUACAGGCGUGGGCCCCCAUGUCCAGCUAAUUUUUAUAUUUUUAGUAGAGACAGGGUUUCACCAUGUUGUCCAGGCUGGUCUUGAACCCCUGACCUCAAGUGAUCCACCCACCUCUGCCUCCCAAAGUGCUGGGAUUACAGGUGUGAGCCACCAUGCCAGGCCCACUUAACCUCUUCAAGUCUGUUUUCUCAUCUGCAAAACAGAGGUAAUAAGAUCAGUAUCUUCUUAAUGGAAGCACCUGGACUACAUUUUUUUCAUUCAUUGUUAUCAUAAAUGAGGACUAACCUGUCUCCCGUUGGGAGUUUUGAACCUAGACCUCAUGUCUUCAUGACGUCAUCACUGCCCCAGGCCCAGCUGUGUCCCUACACCAGCCCCAGCUGACGCAUCUUCUUUUUCUGCCUGUAGAGAUGGUUACAAUGCCUGGCGUGAUGCAUUCUGGCCUUCGCAGAUCCUGGCGGGGCUGUGCCAACGCUGUGGCCUCCCUGCCCCUGAAUACCGAGCCGGUGCUGUCAAGGUGGGCAGCAAAGUCUUCCUGACACCACCGGAGACCCUGCCCCCAGGGAUCUCUUCACAUGUGGAUUGACAUCUUUCCUCAAGAUGUGCCUGCUCCACCCCCAGUUGACAUCAAGCCUCGGCAGCCAAUCAGCUAUGAGCUCAGAGUUGUCAUCUGGAACACGGAGGAUGUGGUUCUGGACGACGAGAAUCCACUCACCGGAGAGAUGUCGAGUGACAUCUAUGUGAAGAGCUGGGUGAAGGGGUUGGAGCAUGACAAGCAGGAGACAGACGUUCACUUCAACUCCCUGACUGGGGAGGGGAACUUCAAUUGGCGCUUUGUGUUCCGCUUUGACUACCUGCCCACGGAGCGGGAGGUGAGCGUCCGGCGCAGGUCUGGACCCUUUGCCCUGGAGGAGGCGGAGUUCCGGCAGCCUGCAGUGCUGGUCCUGCAGGUCUGGGACUAUGACCGCAUCUCUGCCAAUGACUUCCUUGGAUCCCUGGAGUUGCAGCUACCAGACAUGGUGCGUGGGGCCCGGGGCCCCGAGCUCUGCUCUGUGCAGCUGGCCCGCAAUGGGGCCGGGCCGAGGUGCAAUCUGUUUCGCUGCUGCCGCCGCCUGAGGGGCUGGUGGCCGGUAGUGAAGCUGAAGGAGGCAGAGGACGUGGAGCGGGAGGCGCAGGAGGCUCAGGCUGGCAAGAAGAAGCGAAAGCAGAGGAGGAGGAAGGGCCGGCCAGAAGACCUGGAGUUCACAGACAUGGGUGGCAAUGUGUACAUCCUCACGGGCAAGGUGGAGGCAGAGUUUGAGCUGCUGACUGUGGAGGAGGCCGAGAAACGGCCAGUGGGGAAGGGGCGGAAGCAGCCAGAGCCUCUGGAGAAACCCAGCCGCCCCAAAACUUCCUUCAACUGGUUUGUGAACCCGCUGAAGACCUUUGUCUUCUUCAUCUGGCGCCGGUACUGGCGCACCCUGGUGCUGCUGCUACUGGUGCUGCUCACCGUCUUCCUCCUCCUGGUCUUCUACACCAUCCCUGGCCAGAUCAGCCAGGUCAUCUUCCGUCCCCUCCACAAGUGACUCUCGCUGACCUUGGACACUCACCCAGGGUGCCAACCCUUCAAUGCCUGCUCCUGGAAGUCUUUCUUACCCAUGUGAGCUACCCCAGAGUCUAGUGCUUCCUCUGAAUAAACCUAUCACAGCCACUGA